rnacentral:lncRNA from 1 species
UUCAAAAAUUCCUGAAUUUUCUUAUUCUUUCUUUGGAAAUAUGAGGCUAGUUUCAGCCACAAUGAGAACACUAGGUAGCAAUCUACUAGAAUCUAGAUCAAAUAAACAUAGUAAGGUUUCCAUAAGCGUAACAUAAACAUAUGUAUCACGUCACCCGCAUUUUUACUUUUUUGCUAUAUGCGCAAGUGCAGACACAGAAAUUACAGUACAAAAACAAGUAAAGAAAAAAAAUAUGGCUGGCUAGGUGUUGAAUCCGCGGCUCUACAUUUCCAGGAUGUUGUUAAUUAGGAUGCAGUGCUUCUUGACUGCAUCAACAGUAGAUUCGAAUGCUUUCUUCCCAGCCUCAGCUAUUUUCUUGCCUACCAUAGUCCAAACAUGUUCCUCUUCUUUUGGAAAAACAGUUCCAUUUUUGCCUGAUCUUCUUGCAUUGCUAGUGUUAGAAUCCAUUUAUUUUACCGAAUUUCAACUAUGUUUGCGUUUUUUCUCUAGGAGGAGAUGUGGGGCUAUUUAUGGACCAUGUGAGCUUGGUAUUCUUCUAAACUCUUCUUUUCAUGUUUUGUGUAAGGUUGCUGCAAAUUCAAUGUGAUUUCAAUGGAAAAAACAGCCCUUUGCUCUUGAUAUUAACUGUGUGGAUGAUAUGGUUUGAAUUAAAAUGUAAUAACCUACACUUCCCGUGUUUUUGAGUGUGUUUUCGUCUCUCCUCCCGUGUGAUAGCUUCCUCGACAGUGAGACGGGAACAAUUUGAUUUAAGAAGAUCAAUAAAAAUGCCUAACGUGCACGCUAAAGUAAAAAUCAAUAAAUGAAAAGAAGAGAGUCAAAAUUCAGGACAUCUCAAGAACGUCACUAACGAUUAAGAGCCCAACCUACAUGGCUGGAAGAAAAUGAUAAGAGAGUUUAUCAUAAAUGAUGGGAAACGAGUCCAAUAGAAACUAUCUGAAUUCAACCAUAGAACAACUUAAUUCUAAAAUUCAAUCGAACGGUAGAAGAAAUUGGGAGAGGAGAUUUGGAGGGUUUAUUCUGAAAGAAGAAAGGGGGACGAUGAUUUUAUAAUGAGAAAAAUAAUGAGCUUCUAAACGUGUUUGAGAGAGUGAAAAAAAUAGAGGAAAGAGGAAAGUGAAAAAAUGUGUCCUGGAGGAGAAAGAAAACACUUUUUGGAUAAGAGAGAAGCAAAAGGGAGAAAAGGAACAAAAAAAAAAAAAAAAAAGUUCGACCGACUUAAAGUUGGUCAAAUUUGAAUAUAAUUCACAUCAUCAACAACAUCAUCAGCAUUACUCAAAGUGUAUUACAUCACCUACCAAAGAGAGAAUGUCAUUGUCAGCCUAGCCUAGCCAAGCCGCAAACCAUUUGCCAUGUGUCCAUGCCGUCACCACCAACACCGUGGAUUCCACCAACAAGACAUUAGCCCUCUACAUCCCCCAACCAACAUAAAAAUAAAAAUUAAGUCCCCG